UCUCCGUAGGUGAACCUGCGGAGGGAUCAUUACAGAGUUCAUGCCCUACCGGGUAGAUCUCCCACCCUAUGUUAUUAUUACUUUGUUGCUUUGGCGGGCCGUUAGGCUCCGGCCCGACUACCGGCCCCGGCUGGUAAGCGCCCGCCAGAGGACCCAAAACCCUGAAUAUUAGUGUCGUCUGAGUACUAUAUAAUAGUUAAAACUUUCAACAACGGAUCUCUUGGCUCUCGCAUCGAUGAAGAACACAGC
rnacentral:misc_RNA from 1 species